GGAUAGCUCAGUUGAUAGAGCAUGAGGCGGUUAACUCCAGGGUCGUGGGUUCGAGUCCCAAUGAUUCCU